AAUACGACCUCACUAUAGGGAAAGCUUGCAUGCCUGCAGGUCGACUCUAGAGGAUCUACUAGUCAUAUGGAUCAGGCCUAACACAUGCAAGUCGAACGCCCCGCAAGGGGAGUGGCAGACGGGUGAGUAACGCGUGGGAACCUACCCAGAGGUGCGGAAUAGCCCAGGGAAACUUGGAGUAAUACCGCAUAAGCCCGCAAGGGGAAAGAUUUAUCGCCUUUGGAUGGGCCCGCGUCUGAUUAGCUAGUUGGUGAGGUAAUGGCUCACCAAGGCGACGAUCAGUAGCUGGUUCUUAGAGGAUGAUUCAGCCACACUGGGACUGAGACACGGCCCAGACUUCUACGGGAGGCAGCAGUGGGGAAUAUUGGACAAUGGGCGCAAGCCUGAUCCAGCCAUGCCGCGUGAGUGACGAAGGCCUUAGGGUUGUAAAGCUCUUUUGGCGGGGACGAU
rnacentral:rRNA from 1 species